UACGUAGGGCGCGAGCGUUGUCCGGAUUUAUUGGGCGUAAAGCGCGUGUAGGCGGUUUGGUAGGUCCGCUGUGAAAACUCGAGGCUCAACCUCGAGACGCCGGUGGAAACCAUCAGACUAGAGUCCGGAAGAGGAGAGUGGAAUUCCUGGUGUAGCGGUGAAAUGCGCAGAUAUCAGGAAGAACACCCGUGGCUAAGGCGGCUCUCUAGUACGGUACUGACGCUGAGACGCGAAAGCGUGGGGAGCAAACAGG
rnacentral:rRNA from 1 species